UAUUUUGUAUUUUAUGUGGAACACAAGAAGCAGUUGGGUCGUACACCAACCCACGAGGAGGUCUUCAAAGAAACCCACACACUUAAAAGUGACAAGUCUAAAUGGGUGGACAAGCCUCUCAAGACACUCAUGAGAAGUUUAUAAAAAAGUUGGCAGAAGUUCAGGCUCAACAUGCCGAGGCUCAAGCACAGGGAAUGGAGCUACAACCAAUUGAUGAAGACUUGAUUUGGGAGGAAGUGUGUGGUGGGCAAAAGAAGAAUCGAGUUUACG